UCCUUAAACUGCAGCCGGUGG
rnacentral:misc_RNA from 1 species